AGCGAACGCUGGCGGCAGGCCUAACACAUGCAAGUCGAACGAACCCUUCGGGGUUAGUGGCGGACGGGUGAGUAACACGUGGGAACGUGCCUUUAGGUUCGGAAUAACUCAGGGAAACUUGUGCUAAUACCGAAUGUGCCCUUCGGGGGAAAGAUUUAUCGCCUUUAGAGCGGCCCGCGUCUGAUUAGCUGGUUGGUGAGGUAAUGGCUCACCAAGGCUACGAUCAGUAGCUGGUCUGAGAGGAUGACCAGCCACAUUGGGACUGAGACACGGCCCAAACUCCUACGGGAGGCAGCAGUGGGGAAUCUUGCGCAAUGGGCGAAAGCUUGACGCAGCCAUGCCGCGUGGAUGAUGAAGGUCUUAGGAUUGUAAAAUCCUUUCACCGGUGAAGAUAAUGACUGUAGCCGGAGAAGAAGCCCCGGCUAACUUCGUGCCAGCAGCCGCGGUAAAAC
rnacentral:rRNA from 1 species